rnacentral:rRNA from 1 species
UGGGGAAUAUUGGACAAUGGGCGCAAGCCUGAUCCAGCCAUGCCGCGUGAGUGACGAAGGCCUUAGGGUUGUAAAGCUCUUUUGGCGGGGAAGAUAAUGACGGUACCCGCAGAAUAAGCUCCGGCUAACUUCGUGCCAGCAGCCGCGGUAAUACGAAGGGAGCUAGCGUUGUUCGGAAUCACUGGGCGUAAAGCGCACGUAGGUGGGCAGUUAAGUCAGGGGUGAAAGCCCGAGGCUCAACCUCGGAAUUGCCUCUGAUACUGGCUGUCUAGAGUUCGAGAGAGGUGAGUGGAAUUCCUAGUGUAGAGGUGAAAUUCGUAGAUAUUAGGAAGAACACCAGUGGCGAAGGCGGCCAACUGGCUCGAUACUGACGCUGAGGUGCGAAAGCGUGGGGAGCAAACAGGAUUAGAUACCCAGGUAGUCCCUGAGCGGGCUGGCAAGGCGCAU